ACCCGUUUGGCUCAGUUGAUAGAGCAUGCGACUCUUGACCUCAGGAUUGUGAGAUCAAGUCUCACAUUGGGUG
rnacentral:tRNA from 1 species